rnacentral:rRNA from 1 species
ACGGAUCCGACGGUGAGGGACGAAAGCUCGGGUCACGAACCGGAUUAGAUCCCCGGGUAGUCCGAGCUGUAAACGAUGUCUGCUAGGUGUGCCACAGGCUACGAGCCUGUGGUGUGCCGUAGGGAAGCCGUGAAGCAGACCGCCUGGGAAGUACGUCCGCAAGGAUGAAACUUAAAGGAAUUGGCGGGGG